GACGAACGCUGGCGGCGUGCCUAACACAUGCAAGUCGAACGGGGUUAAUUGCUUCGGUGAUUAACUUAGUGGCGAACGGGUGAGUAACGCGUGAGGAACCUGCCUUUCAGUGGGGGACAACAGUUGGAAACGACUGCUAAUACCGCAUAACAUAUCGAGAUCGCAUGAUUUUGAUAUCAAAGCUUUAUGUGCUGAAAGAUGGCCUCGCGUCUGAUUAGCUAGUUGGUGGGGUAACGGCCCACCAAGGCGACGAUCAGUAGCCGGCCUGAGAGGGUGAACGGCCACAUUGGGACUGAGACACGGCCCAAACUCCUACGGGAGGCAGCAGUGGGGAAUAUUGCACAAUGGGGGAAACCCUGAUGCAGCGACGCCGCGUGAGUGAAGAGUAUUUCGGUAUGUAAACCUCUGUCCUUGGUGACGAAGGAAGUGACGGUAGCCAAGGAGGAAAGCCCCGGCUAACUACGUG
rnacentral:rRNA from 1 species